rnacentral:lncRNA from 1 species
AGCUAAAAGAUGAGAAGGUCAAGAGGGAAGUCUAGGGCAAUUUGGAUAGGUUAGAAAUUGUAAAGCAGUUGCACAAGGAUUCUUGUUGAUGGCUGAGAAUUUGAAGGUGACAUCCCAAUUGGGAUUGCUUCUUUGUGUGUGGGAAUAAAAAAUAUUUUAGAGUGGGUUUUGAGGCAGAUGAAGAAGGUCGCUAUGUUGUUUAGGAUUCACUUUCAUGGCAGUGAAGAAGUGUUGGUAUCAUUUAGCUAUUGAAACAAGCCAAUCAC